rnacentral:rRNA from 1 species
AGUGAACGCUGGCGGUAGGCCUAACACAUGCAAGUCGAACGGCAGCACAGUAAGAGCUUGCUCUUACGGGUGGCGAGUGGCGGACGGGUGAGGAAUACAUCGGAAUCUACUUUUUCGUGGGGGAUAACGUAGGGAAACUUACGCUAAUACCGCAUACGACCUACGGGUGAAAGCAGGGGAUCUUCGGACCUUGCGCGAUAGAAUGAGCCGAUGUCGGAUUAGCUAGUUGGCGGGGUAAAGGCCCACCAAGGCGACGAUCCGUAGCUGGUCUGAGAGGAUGAUCAGCCACACUGGAACUGAGACACGGUCCAGACUCCUACGGGAGGCAGCAGUGGGGAAUAUUGGACAAUGGGCGCAAGCCUGAUCCAGCCAUACCGCGUGGGUGAAGAAGGCCUUCGGGUUGUAAAGCCCUUUUGUUGGGAAAGAAAAGCAGCAGGUUAAUACCCCGCUGUUCUGACGGUACCCAAAGAAUAAGCACCGGCUAACUUCGU